CCUACUCCAGCCCCAACCCCGCAGCCUCACCAGCAGCCCUCCCGGGGCCUCUGCCUGGGCCAGAUCCCUGCCUGGAGUGCCUUCUUCCUUGGCACAGCGGUGACCGCGCAGGCCCCGGCCUCCCUCCCGAAGGCCCCGGCCCCACUCGGCCUGUCAGACCAGAAAAGCCCCUCCUGGUGGCACCACCCGUCCCUGAAGCCUGGCCUCUCUUUCUGCUUAGAACCCACACUCAAGGUUGCCGCAAAGUUCUCGCCCUCAGGACGCUCGCAGGGAGCCAGUCCAGGGAGAUUUAUGUCCCUGAGGAAGGGGAGCCCCAGCACUUGGUCCAUGCAGGGCUUCCGGCCCAUCGGAGCCUCGGGGUCCAGGGCAGAACCGGAAUGCUCAGGAGGCCAGCACUGGGUCAGGCAAGAAGCGUCUCCGGCCAAACGCCAACCCUGGGAACGUUCCAUCCCCUCCUCCCUCCCGGCCUCCCUGAGCUGCUCCACACUCUGGACCCAAUGGGAAACAGAAAACCCACAGGAAUGCCAACGACUCUCCUCCGUAGAAACGCCAGUGGUGCCCGUCACGUGCUGAUUGAACUCAUCCUUGACCCUAAGGUAGCUCCUUGCUGGGACGGUGAAUCCACACUGCCAACACCUUACCCCACCGCAGUGUUUUGAGAGCUUCCUUCAUGGGCUGAAGAGCAGGAUGUGCCAGGAUGUGCCACACAGCUUGUUUUCCUAAAUGACACAGAUAGACCCCACCUGUGCAUGGUUUCCCAUAGAUGGAAACCACCAGAAAGGCACCCCAGAGAGUGAGAAUGGCAAGCGUGAUGAGAGCAUUCGCCUGGCCUGUGUGUCCCCGUGCAUCACGUCUGUCAUAGGCACAAACUCCUGUAUGUUUUUUAACAUAGGACUCAAGUAAGGACUGGAAAGAUGUUUAUCAAAUAAAACCAAUCUGCUAAUGAGUCAGCUGUUUGAACACGCACACAGCACCACCCACCGUGGUGGGUGCAUGGAGCAUGGCCGGCUGCCUCCCCCACUGCCAGGUUACAGGGAACACAGGAGACAGGAAGAUGCUGAACAGCCCCACGGAGACGCACUCAGCAAAACCAGACCAGGAGGCCACAAGAUAAACGACCUGGUUUCAACGAUACAUGGCACAGAAAAAAGAGGGAGGACCUGGCGAUUUAAAAAGACUCGAGGGACCGGGCUCAGUGGCUCACGCCUGUAAUCCCAGAACUUUGGGAGGCCAAGGCAGGCGGAGCACUUGAGAUCAAGAGUUCGAGACCAGCCUGGCAGCAUGGUGAAACCCCAUCUCUGCUAAAAAUACAAAAAUUAGAUGGGCGUGGUGGGUGGGGGUCUGUAGUCCCAGCUACUCAGGAGGCUGAGGCAGGAGAAUCACCUGAACCUGGGAGGCAGAGGUUGCAGUGAGCUGAGGUCGUGCCACUACACUCCAGCCUGGGCAAGAACAAGACGUCUCCAAAAAAAAAAAAAAAAACAGCUAGUAAACUAACCAGAUGCAGGUGAAGACCUUGUCUGGUUCCUGAUUCCAUACACAAGCAUACAUGUGUAUGCAUGCAUUUGUGCAUGUGCACACACAUACCCUAUGCACACAUACCUUGCAGGUACAUCUACAUACACAUACACAUACACAUGCUGUGGUUUGCUGCACAAAUGUACUUGUGUGCACCCAUGUACAGGUGUGCACUACAUGCAUAUAUAUGUGUACACAUGCAUGUGACGUGUGUAUGUGUGUGUAUGUGUGUGUAUGUGUGCACAGGCACAAUUUUUUAAAACAUACUAAGACAACGGGAAAUCUGAACAUCAGAUAUUCAAUUAAAUAACUUUAGGGGGGCUGGGUACAAUGGCUCACGCCUGCAGUCCCAGCACUUUGGGAGGCAGAAGUGGAUCACUGGAGGCCAGGAGUUUGAGACACGCCUAGGCACCACAGUGAGACCCUGUCUCUGCAAUAAAAAUAUUCAAAAAUUCGCUGGCCUGCCUGGCCAACAUGGCAAAACCCCAACUCUACUAAAAAUACACAAAAUAGCCGGGCCUGUAAUCCCAGCUACUCGGGAGGCUAGGCCCAAGAAUCGCUUGAACCGGGAUGUGGGGAUUGCAGUGAGCUGAGAUGGCACCACUGCACUCCAGCCUGGGUGACAGAGUUAAACCCUGUCUCAAAAAUAAAAGAAUUAGACAGGCAUGAUAUCAUGUGCCUGUGGUCCCAGCUACUUGGGAGGCUGAGGUGGGAGGAUCACUCGUGUCCAAGAGGUUGAGGCUGCAGUAAGUCAUGAUCACACCACUGUAUUCCAGCCUGGGCAACAGAGCAAGACCCUAUCUCAAAAAAAAAAAAAAAAAAAAAAAAAGGCAGGGGGUUGGAGAACUUUUUUGGUAUGAAAAUGGCAUUGUGGUAAUAAUGCUUCUGGAGACUUGUUUUGAGAUACCAUGCGUUCACCACUUACAUGGUAGAAUGUCUGGGAUUUGUACUGAAAUAACAGGAGGAGCCGAUGAACAACGAUGAAGUUCCUGCAGCAGGGACAGGAAACUGGGGGGCGCCACACUCUUCACAUCUGAAAGCUCCUGUUAGUUUAUAACGCAUAUCCUGGAAGAUACGCCCCAGCAUGGUGGUGGCAGCAGGACUUUGGAGGACCUCUCCUCAUCCGUGCCUACCUGCCUAACACUGUCAGUAAUUAGCACACAGGUAUAUACCUAAGAGUGGAAAAACCAAUACAAAAUACAUAGAAUAAUUAGCACAAAUAGAUGACUUUCCUAAGGUUACUGUAAAAACCCAGGACUGUCCUGCGGGGCACCCUGGCUCACCAGACACCACCCCCACCACCGGGGACAAAGCCCCAGGGCGGCCGCCCUCCCACCCCACAGAGACAGCUACGUUUUAAGUUAAGAAAUUCUCACCAG
rnacentral:lncRNA from 1 species